UACGAGGGGUGCAAGCGUUGCUCGGAAUUAUUGGGCGUAAAGGGUAGGUAGGUGGUCUCAUUUGUCUGGGGUGAAAGCCUUGAGCUUAACUCAAGAAGUGCCCUAGAAACGGUGAGACUAGAGUUCUGGAGAGGGUCGUGGAAUUCCCGGUGUAGCGGUGAAAUGCGUAGAGAUCGGGAGGAACACCAGCGGCGAAGGCGGCGACCUGGACAGAUACUGACACUCAACUACGAAAGCGUGGGGAGCAAACAGG
rnacentral:rRNA from 1 species